AACGAACGCUGGCGGCAGGCCUAACACAUGCAAGUCGAACGAGUAAGAGCCGUAGCAAUACGGAGUUCUGCUAGUGGCGCACGGGUGAGUAACGCGUGGGAACGUGCCUUGGAGUUCGGGAUAACAGUUGGAAACGACUGCUGAUACCGAAUAUUCCCUCAGGGGGAAAGAUUUAUCGCUCCAAGAUCGGCCCGCGUAAGAUUAGGUAGUUGGUGGGGGUAAUGGCCUACCAAGCCUACGAUCUUUAGCUGGUCUGAGAGGACGACCAGCCACACUGGAACUGAGACACGGUCCAGACUCCUACGGGAGGCAGCAGUGGGGAAUAUUGGACAAUGGGCGAAAGCCUGAUCCAGCCAUGCCGCGUGAAUGAUGAAGGCCUUAGGUGUAAAAUUCUUUUGUCAGGGGAAGAUAAUGACGGUACCCUGCGAAUAAGCUCCGCUAACUUCGUGCCAGCAGCCGCGG
rnacentral:rRNA from 1 species